CUGGUAGUCUCCAACUAGCCAAGGUGUUAGUGAUUGGAGCUGGGUGGCUUGAAAAGCUACCUGGUUGAUGUUCUGUGGACCCAGCAAACACAAGACUGUGACCCUGGAGCUGGGGAGCACAGAAGGCCCCACCAUCCAGGUGACUGAAGGGGAAGGAGGUGAAGAGGCCACAGGGACGGCCUGAGACCUCAGCUGGAGGAAGACUGUGCUGGACCAGGGUCUGCCCUGUUGGGUGCUGGGGGCAGAGGUGGCUAGGGAGGCCUGGUGGAAGUCUGUGUGAGUGUGCCCAGCUGCAGAGGGGGCCAGGAAGAGCACCAGAGAGCCUGCCCCAGGAGCUGACCCUCUGACCUCACCCUCCACCUGCAGCUUCCUGGACCCAGUAGGGGUGUAAUACUGGGCGGUUCCCACACCUCGGUUCUAUUAUAAUUCUGGGGCAUCAACCUCGCUGCCCCCCAAUUUCUGAGAAUCAGUGGGGGUUGGAGUGCUGCUUCUCAGCCCUGGAAGGCAGGGCUACCACUUAGCACCUGCAUCUCUCUCAUCUCGGUCGGUCACCCAGCUUCCUCAGACGGCAAGGCCACAGUUCCCAUGCAGUCACCAGAAAGAGGAACAGAGGAGGGUGGUGAAACCCGGAACAGUCCGUCCUCACCCUCCUAUGAACACCACGAGGAUGGCAUCCCCCUUUCUGCAAGCUUCCGGGUGGAGGAACUCAGAGCGGGAGAUUGAGGGGAGCAGUUGGAAGGAUGGCGAGGAGAAUCUUGUUUGGCACCAAAACAACUGAAACCAUCUUCUUUAUCUUUCUCAUCUACAAGAAAGCAGAGGAGAUUUAAACAAUGACACAUGAAACACCAAGGAUCUAGGAUGUGUGAGUUUCUGGAUCUUACCUGCUCACAGCAGCCAUCUCUCCCCUCUGCACAAAGAAGCUCAUUGCACCAUGGUGUGAGAAGCUGUCUUUGCCUUAGGACCAGAGCUCAUCAGAGCCUCUCCUGGUCGCUGGUGCCUGGCUUUGGUCUCCCCUGGAUGGCAGCUGCCUG